GUGCUUGCUUUGGAUGCACAUAUACUAAGAUUGGAAUGAUACAGAGAAUAUCAGUAUGGUUCCUACACAAGGAAAUAAGGAAUUAUAUUAACCGCGACCCAAGGAUC
ensembl:snRNA U6 U6 spliceosomal RNA